rnacentral:rRNA from 1 species
CCUACGGGAGGCAGCAGUAGGGAAUAUUGCUCAAUGGGGGAAACCCUGAAGCAGCAACGCCGCGUGGAGGAUGAAGGUUUUAGGAUUGUAAACUCCUUUUGUGAGAGAAGUUAAUGACGGUAUCUCACGAAUAAGCACCGGCUAACUCCGUGCCAGCAGCCGCGGUAAUACGGAGGGUGCAAGCGUUACUCGGAAUCACUGGGCGUAAAGAGUGCGCAGGCGGGCUUGUAAGUCAGAUGUGAAAUCCUGUAGCUUAACUACAGAACUGCAUUUGAAACUAGGAGUCUAGAGUGUGGGAGAGGUAGGUGGAAUUCUUGGUGUAGGGGUAAAAUGCGUAGAUAUCAAGAGGAAUACUCAUUGCGAAGGCGACCUACUGGAACAUUACUGACGCUCAUGCACGAAAGCGUGGGGAGCAAACAGGAUUAGAUACCCCGGUAGUC